GCCAGCAUGGCAUAGUGGUUUGAGUGUUGGACUAGUAUUCUGGAGGCCAGGAUUCGAUUCUCUGCUCAGCCA